UAGCUAUGAUGGAAAUUCUCUGUGUACCGUAUAUAUCUCCUCGGAGACGAUAUGUGACGGCAACACAACCCUCUAAGAAGUUCUGAGCUC